GGAGAUGACACAGGGUGGGCGAUCUGAUCCCUGCAUCUGUCUCCGGAGCCUGUGCCCUCAAUGAGGACACUGAACAAGCAGCCCCCUUCAAUUUCCAGGUUUCCUGGGUGCUCAUUUACCCCACCUUGCCGGGAGAAAAGCCUCCAUUCAUUCUCCUGAGGUCAGAGAAAAACGUGUGCUUUAUAAAGGAAACCUGGAUUAGUAAACAUUUAAGGUGCUGGACCACAGCUCCGAUUGGAUCAUCUAUAGGGAGUCGUCCUGGUACCUGCCAGUCCUCCAUCCUGCGGCCCUAAUUGAAUGUUCAGC